rfam:Oryza glumipatula chromosome 2, whole genome shotgun sequence.
AAAAAGACAAACCCUAGGUUUCCGUGUCCAAAUUUGACUGUCCGUCUUAUAUAAAAAUUUUUUAUAAUUCGUAUUUUUAUUGUUGUUUGAUGAUAAAACAUGAUUAAUAUUUUAUGCGUGACUUGUCUUUUUAAUUUUUUUAUAAUUUUUUCAAAUAUAAGACGGACGGUCAAAUGUUGGGCACGGAAACCAGGGUUUGUCUUUUU